ensembl:lncRNA
CCGAGCUAGGCUGAAUAUUAUCGUGUACGUGUGUGUAAUAAGGAUUCUUCUUGUUCAAUGUGUCUUUCAAUGUGUGUAUGUGUGUGCGUAUGUGUUUGUGUGUGCAUACUUGCAUUUGUGAUUGUCCACCUUGAAUAAAAAAUACAACCAAGUAGUUAUGAGGAACAAGUUUAUUGAGGAGGAGGGAAACAGAGACACAGAGAAAAAUAAACAGCUGAUUUAUUCCCCAGUUGUACUCUACGCCCUCUAGUGGACGACACCAUUCACAUCCACGGAAAACACUUUGUCGGUCCGUCUCAAUCCAUGCCAGUAAGGCAGUCCAGAGAAGAGAUUGUUAAGUGAUAAUAGAGACACAGAUACACGAGUAAAGCGCUAGGAUUCUUUAAAUGAGGUCAUUACAGGGUACAAUACCACCUUAUCAUUAACCUAUAUACAUAUCAGCACAGAGUUUCAAUAGAGAAGACCCACGAACACGAUAAACACACCGACAGAGAUCACUUGAACACUGGCGUCCCCCCCUGAAGGAGCAGGAGGCAGAUGCUGGCUGAACCAGGCCCCUUUAGAAGGAGACUGGUACAGGUGAAGGGGGAUGCACACAGUCGCCUUAUAUUCACACCUGAGCAGCAAAGAGCUAAACUGACACCUCACCAUGGUUAGGGAUUUCCUUCCCUCAUUAUAUUAGUUGUAUUUAAUUGUAUUUUUAUCCACAACCGCAAGCCAGUCAGCAUCUGGAAGGGCUCCUUAUGGGGGGCGAGGGUCAGAACUUGACUGGUAAUACAGUGAACACCAAUGGCAUGGGAGAGGUGGGGGCAGUUUUGCCAGAUUGCGCCAGAUUUCCCGCCCAAUCUGGCAACCUUUUGGUGGGGGGAGGAUUCGUUGCAUUGUAGAGCCGGGUUUCCACAGAGAGCUUACUGACACUGCUCCUCAGCCUAUGUGUGUAUGGCUGCUACUACAACACAGGAACUCACAUACGCACAAAAAAGUCCAACAUUUAAGUCACCCCAUGUGGGGUUGUAUGAUUCCUUAUUAUUAUUAUCGUUAUUAUUAUUUAUAUCCAUAUUAGUAGUAACAAAUUCGACCAUGAAAACGAAUACUUAACUUAAAACGCCAACAAACGUGCAGACAGACGGUACAUGCACACAUGUCCUCGCACACUCGCACACAUACAUAUACAGGUUAUUUGCACACACACACACACACACAUGUACGCACAUAAACCAAUGAGUACAAACACACCUGCACGCACACGCACCCACACACAAACACGCGUACAUACUGAGAUACAACUUUAGUUCCUAAGAGAACGUCAAGCCAUUAAUUAACACAUAGUGGUGGUGGUGGUGGUCUGAGGGGGGGUGUGUGGGUGGGGGUAUAUUAUACACAAUAAAUAAUACAGUGCUAAAACAAUACUCUUUACCGACACAUAGGCAUAUCAACGGCCCUCCCAUGGUUCACAUACACAUCAACUGACGCAGAGAACACACACUCGCACACACACACACAUACAAACUCUCUACACACAUUCUACACACACUUUCCCAUGCAAAAAAAAGCAGCGAGUGUGCCAUGCUCAUCUUGGAUUAAGUAGGGCAGUGCCACUGCUGAACACGUAUCCAUGGAGAAGCGUUGGAGGUGGAGUCGGAGUUUGGAGGGUUUGGGGGGUUGGGGAAUGAGAGGGAAGCUAAAACCCUAGAGAGAGCGGGAGACCAUCGCCAAGUAGAACAAGCGUACGCACACACACAUACACCACAACAUGCACCAGUACCACACUGUACACAGAUAUAUGGACCUGGCAGGGUCAAGGGUAGAAGCUCAGCUGUGUGUGUGUAUUUUUGUGUGUAUUUGUAUGUGUUCGCAGGUAUGUGAGAGUGUGUUUGUUUGUGCACUGCAGGGAAGGGAGGGAGCAGGAGAGAGACCAUAGACGUGGCUGAGAGAGAAGGAGAGUGACAAUAUAUAUGUCUGAGAGAGAGGAGGCAGAGAGAGGGGGAUUAGGGAAGGAUGAGGAGGAGAGUGGAGGCCCAAGCCGAUAUGCAGACACGGUCUCCAUGGUGAUUAGGGUGGAGCUUGCCUGGUUGGGGAGGGUGGAGGCCGCCGGCUGGGGCCCAAGUUCCAGAGAGAUGGUACCAGAGAAAGACGAGUGGACAGAGAGAGAGAGAGAGAGAGAGAGAGA